GCCUCCGUCGCCCAAGGGAUGGGCACCGGCCUUCUAAGCCGGAGUGUGCGGGUUCGAAUCCUGCCGGAGGCACC
rnacentral:tRNA from 1 species